rnacentral:tRNA from 1 species
GCCAUUGUGGUGUAGUGUUCAGCACACUCGGCACAUAUUCAAGAGGUCCGGGGUUCGAGUCCCGGCGAGGGCA